ACGCCUGGAGAGAGACCUUCUACGGGUCACCCAUGAUCUGGGAGAUGGCGUUUCCAGUAGCGGGUGCAAGGGGGAAGUGAGUAUGUGAGAAGAGUUCUCGUCACUGCAUAUGGAGAUGUCAAAGAUGAAGCUCAGUGAGUUUGCACAAUAUCCCAUCUGUCAAUUCCUACUUGAAG